CUUAAUGAAUGAGUGGGUUUAAGUGUAAUUAGAAGUGAUUAACUCAGAAUAAUAACAAGCUUAAAUAGGAACCGAGGAUAGUAACCUAUGAGAAUCUAAUGAUGUCAAGAUGGAUUGAAAAUAGAAAGUGAAAGAUAAAUACGGGAGACGCUAUGAGGAAUAUUAAUCGAGAGGUUAAUACUUAAAUUAGAAUGGAUAACGGGGUAUACUACUAGGAUGAAAGACGUAGUAAUGGAGAGAACGAAUGACGAGAGUAGAUUCUAAAAUGCAGUAACGAGUAACAAAGGAAUAUGAUGUGUACAUAUGGUCGUAUAAAAUGUUGAUUAAUGGUGAGAAGUUAUUGACGUGUGAUGAGGAUCUAUGUUCAAGUAAUAAUUGUUGAAUGGUGAGGAUGAAUGAUAUCAUAAUUAAUGAUGUUUUGUGAAUGACGAGUAAUGACGAUGACGUGUCUUGUUUAGGGUGACGAGUAAAUGAUGANN
rnacentral:lncRNA from 1 species